GGCGGACGGGUGAGUAACGCGUGAGGAUCUGCCUACAGGUGGGGGACAACAGUUGGAAACGGCUGCUAAUACCCCAUGUGCCGGAAGGUGAAAGGUUUACUGCCUGUAGAUGAACUCGCGUCUGAUUAGCUAGUUGGUGGGGUAAUGGCCUACCAAGGCGACGAUCAGUAGCUGGUCUGAGAGGAUGAUCAGCCACACUGGGACUGAGACACGGCCCAGACUCCUACGGGAGGCAGCAGUGGGGAAUUUUCCGCAAUGGGCGAAAGCCUGACGGAGCAACGCCGCGUGCGGGAGGAAGGCCUUAGGGUUGUAAACCGCUUUUAUCAGGGAAGAACGCAAUGACGGUACCUGAUGAAUAAGCCUCGGCUAAUUCCGUGCCAGCAGCCGCGGUAAUACGGGAGAGGCGAGCGUUAUCCGGAAUUAUUGGGCGUAAAGCGUCCGCAGGUGGCCGAUUAUGUCUGUCGUCAAAUCGUGGAGCUCAACUCCAUACACGCGAUGGAAACUGGUUGGCUAGAGUACGGUAGGGGUAGCGGGAAUUCCAGGUGUAGCGGUGAAAUGCGUAGAUAUCUGGAAGAACACCAGCGACGAAAGUGCGCUACUGGGCCUGUACUGACACUCAUGGA
rnacentral:rRNA from 1 species